AGGGAAUCUUCCGCAAUGGACGAAAGUCUGACGGAGCAACGCCGCGUGAGUGAAGAAGGUUUUCGGAUUGUAAAGCUCUGUCAUCUGGGACGAUAAUGACGGUACCAGAUGAGGAAGCCACGGCUAACUACGUGCCAGCAGCCGCGGUAAUACGUAGGUGGCAAGCGUUGUCCGGAAUUACUGGGCGUAAAGGGUGCGUAGGCGGAUGUUUAAGUGAGAUGUGAAAUACCCGGGCUUAAGUUGGGUGCUGCAUUUCAAACUGGAUCUCUAGAGUGCAGGAGAGGAGAAUGGAAUUCCUAGUGUAGCGGUGAAAUGCGUAGAGAUUAGGAAGAACACCAGUGGCGAAGGCGAUUCUCUGGACUGUAACUGACGCUGAGGCACGAAAGCGUGGGUAGCAAAC
rnacentral:rRNA from 1 species